AGUGAACGCUGGCGGUAGGCCUAACACAUGCAAGUCGAACGGCAGCACAGUAAGAGCUUGCUCUUACGGGUGGCGAGUGGCGGACGGGUGAGGAAUACAUCGGAAUCUACUUUUUCGUGGGGGAUAACGUAGGGAAACUUACGCUAAUACCGCAUACGACCUACGGGUGAAAGCAGGGGAUCUUCGGACCUUGCGCGAUUGAAUGAGCCGAUGUCGGAUUAGCUAGUUGGCGGGGUAAAGGCCCACCAAGGCGACGAUCCGUAGCUGGUCUGAGAGGAUGAUCGGCGGCACUGGAACUGAGACACGGUCCAGACUCCUACGGGAGGCAGCAGUGGGGAAUAUUGGACAAUGGGCGCAAGCCUGAUCCAGCCAUACCACGUGGGUGAAGAAGGCCUUCGGGUCGUAAAGCCCUUUUGUUGGGAAAGAAAAGCAGCAGGUUAAUACCACGCUGUUCUGACGGUACCCAAAGAAUAAGCACCGGCUAACUUCGUG
rnacentral:rRNA from 1 species